GAUGAACGCUAGCGGCAGGCUUAAUACAUGCAAGUCGAACGGCAGCGGGUCCAGCAAUGGAUGCCGGCGAGUGGCGCACGGGUGCGUAACACGUAUGCAACCUACCUUUAACCGGGACAUAACCUCGAGAAAUCGUGGCUAAUAUGCCAUAAUAUCUUUGAAUCGCAUGGUUUGAAGAUCAAAAUUCCGAUGGUUUUAGAUGGGCAUGCGCGACAUUAGCUAGUUGGUGAGGUAAUGGCUCACCAAGGCUACGAUGUUUAGGGGGUCUGAGAGGAUGAUCCCCCACACUGGUACUGAGACACGGACCAGACUCCUACGGGAGGCAGCAGUAAGGAAUAUUGGGCAAUGGGCGCAAGCCUGACCCAGCCAUGCCGCGUGCAGGAUGACAGCCCUACGGGUUGUAAACUGCUUUUAUACGGGAAAAAACCCUCUGACGUGUCAGAGGCUGAUGGUACCGUAAGAAUAAGCAUCGGCUAACUCCGUGCCAGCAGCCGCCGCGG
rnacentral:rRNA from 1 species